rnacentral:rRNA from 1 species
GGUGCAAGCGUUGUCCGGAAUUAUUGGGCGUAAAGAGCUCGUAGGCGGUCUGUCGCGUCGGCUGUGAAAUCCCGGAGCUCAACUCCGGGUCUGCAGUCGAUACGGGCAAACUGGAGUACUGCAGGGGAGACUGGAAUUCCUGGUGUAGCGGUGAAAUGCGCAGAUAUCAGGAGGAACACCGGUGGCGAAGGCGGGUCUCUGGGCAGUAACUGACGCUGAGGAGCGAAAGCGUGGGGAGCGAACAGG